rnacentral:tRNA from 1 species
GCAUCGGUGGUUCAGUGGUAGAAUACUCGCCUGCCACGCGGGCGCCCCAGGUUCGAUUCCCGGACGAUGCA